ensembl:lncRNA
GAUAACACAAUGAUAAAUCAGGACUUCUUGGAAAUUAUUCCAUCUUAACCUCCAUUUUUUAUGUCCAUGUAGUUGUGGGGGAAAAAAAACAACCUUUCACCAGGGCUUGAAGACAAACAUUUUAUGGUCUCAUUGGAAAGAAAAUUGAACAGUAGAUGUAAACACAACUCAAACAUAAAAUACACAGGACAAAAUUCAAAUAGAAAAUACCCAAAGCUAAAGAAUUGUAUCGAUUGUGAAACCCUCUGAAAAUCUCCUUCUUCAAGCAGCAGUCAUGGUUCCCAGUUAUCUUGUCUUCAUUUCAGAGAGACAGACCCAAUUAUGAUCCAUCAUUAAUGACGUCCUGUCAUCCAAAAAUACGCAUUCAUGCACGUGCACUGACAAGAAAAAAGGUUUACAAAAAAACAGACAUUUCUCUUCUUCUGCAAAUUUAGAUGGAUGAAACAGCUGGACUAUGAAGAAACUCCAACGUAGAGGCUAAUGAGUAAAAUAACAAUUAAGAAUAAUGAAGAGCAUCUGCUCUGUUGUGUGUUAUUUAAAAAAAAAUAAAAAUCCCACAUCUCACUUCGGAUUUAUCUCCUGCUACAUAAUUUUGUUGAGCGGCCCUCUGAGCACGGAUCUGGAUCCAACAAAUCUAAAAUCUGCAAUGGUGGGCCACUGUCCACGAUGAGACAAAGACAAGGACAAAAGCUCCAUUCAAAUCGGCUCUGUGCGUUGACGGGACGUUGUCCAGUGAGAGGAGGUCACAUUCCUCCAUCUCACAGCCAAUGGCUGAACGAUGCUGAACUCUAAUGAGGAAGACGACGGUUGAAGACUGUCCUAAAAAAAAAAGGGCCGGGGCGGCGUAAUGAAUGAUUCUGUCUCAUAUCAGCGCUCAACAUCACAUGAGAUCAUGCGAAAGUGGCUGCGUGAGAGGAGCUCACCCUGCAUCCCAUUACAUGCAGUGUUCCGGGAAGAAAGUCCAUUUGCAAUCAAGUAAGAACAAGAUAACGCAGACGAAAAGCAUGCGUCGCUGCUUUAUAUCGCACAUCAAACUGGGUUUUAUUCGUGUGUGAUAUCUGGCUCAUGACUGAUUUCAUACGUUUGUUUUGGCCAUGUUGCGUUUGUAAUCGUACAGCUGUGCCCAGGAGACAGUCAUGUUUUUCUCAAAAGACAAUUUUGUGGCAGUCUUUAAAAAAAGACAACAGAAGGUCAUUUGAGGAAUACAUUUCUUUCUACAUAAGUGCAUCUCAUAGAUUCAGUUUGCAAGUUAAAACGGUUUAUCUAUCCGAACAAUGAUGGAAACACUAAAACAAUUCAACAGGUUUAUCAACGGGUACUUUGUUGGAUUAUGAGAUACAUGUAGUCGCAAUAAGCGACACGGGUAAAAAAAUGUUUUUUAACAUCAGAAUAUUAAGGUUUCACCCGCAUGGGCCUCUUCGAAGGAUCUGACCCUUAAGCGAUGUCACCUUUUGGGUUUCUGAAAGAUUACCCCGGGUUUAUCUUUCAGGAAAACAGAUGUGGAGAAAUAAUAAGUCAUGGAAAUACACCAGACAGACAGACGCUGUGCCCAUGACCCACAACUGAUAGUUCAACUCUGUCAGAGGCCACAGCUCACUCCAUCAGUCUGUUACACAAUACGACAGGCUUCCUCAUGUCAUCAUCGUCUUCAUCUGUUGCCAUUCGUUCAGCUGUUGCUCCUUUGAAGAAUCUGAUCCAGCAGUUUCUGCAAUCAGAAAGCAAAAAAAAAAAAAGAUUAGAUUACUAAAACACUCGGAGGCCACGGGUCACCGGUCGACCUCCUCGAAAACCCAACGAGGCCUUUCUUGCAAUCCUGCAUCCCACUCCUCGUUCACUGGCAUCGCCCCCUCUUCUUCCAGCUGUGUUAUCUGCCACAGCAGCGGUGUGCGUCCGUGGCCACGAACGCAGUCUGCAGCUCGGCUGAAUGGCGGCACCGCACCGUGUCUCUCUGUGCCGCUGAACCCGGGAACACACAGGCCUCACACGCUGAGCACAAUGAGGCUGUUCACGGUCCGUCUCCAUAGUGACGGUGCACCGGGGGGGAAAGAGAACAAGCGUGUGCGAUUCCUUUCAGCGAAUCAAAAUCUGUCCCGGGUAAUAAAUAUAGACCAUGCUGUGAAAAACAAAACAAAAAAAAGAAGAUAAAACAAAACAAGUAACAACAACUUCUGUAUGCGCAGGGGGGAAAAAGAAGUAAAAUUAGAUUUUUUAAUCAAAUUCCCAGGAGACGUGCUGAAAAAUAGCAAAGCAGCGACAUCUAGUGGAUGAAUAAGCUUGUUGUUCAGAGAGAACAAACAAGCUCAAGCAAUCCUCCCACAUCUUAUAUAUUUAGUGUUACAAUACAUGCUUUUCUUAUUCAUCUGCAAAUCUUAUUUCUUAUAGAUCAGUUAAUCAAUAAAGGUAUGUGAAUUCAUACUCUCAGACCUUGGUGUAUAUUACGUACGGUAAUAUGUCAUCCAGCCCACAAGGCCAACUUGUCCGCCUCAGCAGAAGAAUACUCAGAAACACACCGUGCACCCCAUCACCCCCGCCUAGGUUUUUGUGUUUCUACGUUCUUCUCAUAAAUGUCCUUCGCCCUUGCGUGUUCCACUCAAAAUCGUCUCACUUGACCACGAUGGACUUGAUGGGCAAUUAAAAGACGUCAUGUUCCAGAGCUGCACUGCCGUGAAGAGAGAACCCGACAUCGUUGGCUUCAUCGCUUAGGAUGCUUAAUUGAGCCUAUCGAGGAAAGUUGUGUUAUCACUUGCUUAAUUGCCUGUGGGUUGUACACACAAUUAAUGUUCUGUUAAGUGCCUCGGGCAUGUUGUUAACACUGUGGCAAUCUGUACGGAGAUUAUUUGCUUUGUUCCAUAUUUUCAGGGAUUUGGGGAUUCAGUUCAAUUACUGAGUGCCAGCUCCAAAUAGCCAGGUGUGGUGCAGGAGUGUUUGCGCUAAUGUAGGUUCAUCUUAUUCUAUUCAGCCCCUCAGUAUGAAGGUGUUUCUCCCAUAUGUACACGGGAAAUCCUCUUAUUUCACUCUCUGUUGUCAUUAUGUAAUGUGUAACAUGUCGCUUCUGAUCUUCUCUUCGCUUUUUAGCCUCGGCACUGUUCCAUCAACGGAAAAAGAGACAAAAUAUUUUUUGCAUGGUUGUCAACCCAAAUACGGGCUGGGUGAAUUCAUCUGUGUUUUGACAAUUAAAGAUUAAGGGAUUACCUUUGUGAAAAGUCCCACUCGCUGCCUGUUGCUCAAACACACCUCCCUCCUCUUCUCCUCCUCCUCCUCUUUUUUCCUCUUCACCUCUGCAUGCGUCCUGUAACACAACGAUUAGGAUUGGUAUUAUUUGGAAAUGGUUCGACAUGCUCAUUGACUUUCUACGCACCCCUACUCAACUACAUGGUUGAGUAGACACUAUAUUCUGAAUAAAUCCACAGUCCAACACCUUGUGAGACAAGGACAGGGAAAAAACGGAACAUAAUUAGUGCAAAAGUCUUGGCACAGGAAAAAAAAGCAGCCUAUUUUGUUUGGAUGUGUCACUGAUACAGGCUCGGCCUUCACACGUGAAAGUAACGUGUCAGAUAAGAACGCGUUUUGUCUGUUUUGUCAAAAAAGAUGCAUCUGACAGAAUGAAGACGUUGAGACUCACCGCUUAGAUCUCGGCUGCAUCUCUUUGCCAGCAAUGCCUCCGUCUUCGAAAAGGUUAUCUGGAAACAGGAGCAGGUAUGACACAUUUACACACGCACACACAUGCAUAAUGUUGAUUGAGUCGAAGGUUAAAUCACGGCAGUGGAUCAGAACGAAAGGGUCAUGUUGCAAUCUCCUGCAAGAAUAAACAAGAUCAUUUUUAACAGGAAUUCCACCAUCUUGACUGAAGACAUUUUAUGAGGAACACUCACCACGUUUCAUACAUGUACACAAAUAAAAACUUGUUGUCUUAUCUUUUAUUUUACUUUCCAAGCUGUCAUUGACCCAGUGGUGUGUUUUUCUGUCGCAGCCAGCAGAGGGCAGAGAGGGCUACUCAUUUACUGUCGCACAUCUUUAAAUUCUUUAUUGUUUACUGGGAAGCCUGGCACACUGAAAGGGAAUCUCAUGUGACAGGACAUUGUGCCUGAGCUUAAUGACAUUUGAAGGUCACAGACAAAUCUUUGCUGUAAUCAAAUGCUGGCAAUCAUUCUCACUCCCCAUCAUUGAACAAAGGAACACUUGCAUUAUAUAUAUACAGUAUCGGCAAUAAAUGGCAUUUCUUUCAUAAGUAUUUUUUAAAUUCUUUUAUUGUAUUUAGCCACAGCUUAGCCUGCCGUGCCAGCUUUCUCUCUCAGAUAUGCUUCUUUCCUUUGACAUUUGAACGGAAUAGAAAGCUAAGAUGAAAAUGUUUGUUUUAUUACAUUUUCAGAUUCUAGGAGGAUCACAAAUAUCAUUUAUGCCCUGCUUUAGCAUUUACCCAGUACAUUUAAUGUAUGUUAAAUUUGUAAACACAAUGUCUGUGACUUCAUGAAAGUAUAAAAUCUUAAAGAUGUGUUAUGGAUUAGUUGUCUUAAACUGCCAACUCAGUAUCUUGUUUAUCAGCUGAGGACUGACGCGAGCCAAUAUUAUAUAUAUAUAUAAAAUUGAGCCAAACUACCCUCCCCUCCGCCCCUCUCGCUCUUUGUUCUCUGCCUGUAUGUGUGUGUGAUUAUGAUGUGGCAAACAGCCACCGCAGCUGCAACCGGACAAUGGGCAGCAUGAGAGAGGUGGCUGCUGGCACCGUACCGGUCAGAGAGGUUCCCCGAACACUGCGGGCUCUCCUCUGCCCGACGGCGGCGUCCGGCCGCGGGUCCGCCGAAGGGGCCAGGUCCCUCCUCUCCCGGGCCCUGCGCUCCAGCUCUCGCAGUCUGCUCUGGGAACGGCCGAUGAAGUCUGGCCUGCACCUCCGCAGC